UACGGAGGGAGCUAGCGUUGUUCGGAAUUACUGGGCGUAAAGCGCGCGUAGGCGGCUUUGUAAGUCAGAGGUGAAAUCCCGGGGCUCAACUCCGGAACUGCCUUUGAAACUGCAUCGCUUGAAUCCGGGAGAGGGUAGUGGAAUUCCCGGUGUAGUGGUGAAAUGCGUAGAUAUCGGGAGGAACACCAGUGGCGAAGGCGACUACCUGGCCUGUUCUUGACGCUGAGGCGCGAAAGCUAGGGGAGCAAACGGG
rnacentral:rRNA from 1 species